rnacentral:rRNA from 1 species
AGUGAGCGCUGGCGGUAGGCCUAACACAUGCAAGUCGAACGGCAGCACAGUAAGAGCUUGCUCUUACGGGUGGCGAGUGGCGGACGGGUGAGGAAUACAUCAGAAUCUACUUUUUCGUGGGGGAUAACGUAGGGAAACUUACGCUAAUACCGCAUACGACCUACGGGUGAAAGCAGGGGAUCUUCGGACCUUGCGCGAUUGAAUGAGCCGAUGUCGGAUUAGCUAGUUGGCGGGGUAAAGGCCCACCAAGGCGACGAUCCGUAGCUGGUCUGAGAGGAUGAUCAGCCACACUGGAACUGAGACACGGUCCAGACUCCUACGGGAGGCAGCAGUGGGGAAUAUUGGACAAUGGGCGCAAGCCUGAUCCAGCCAUACCGCGUGGGUGAAGAAGGCCUUCGGGUUGUAAAGCCCUUUUGUUGGGAAAGAAAAGCAGCAGGUUAAUACCCCGCUGUUCUGACGGUACCCAAAGAAUAAGCACCGGCUAACUUCGUG